GACUUUAUAUUGUUGGACAUCAGACUCAAGGUCAACAACUGAUUACUUUGAAAAUGGGAAGUAGACAAUUGUUGAUCUUGGGCCCGAUGUUCAACAAUAUAAAGUU
ensembl:miRNA